UUGUAACCAAGGAAAUGUCCUGGUUCUUGGGCUAACAGUUUCUCAACAGAAGAUGAACAUUAAAAAUGUUUUGUUCCUAAAGAUCUUGUGCUCCUUGCCUGCUAUUGACUGAAUAUUUGUGCCCCCUAAAACUAUCUGUUAAAACCUAAUUCCCAAUGUGGUGAUAUUUGGAAGUUGGGCCUUUGGCAGAGCCCUCGUGAACUGGGAAUAGUAUCCUUAAAAGAGAGGUCCCAGAGAGCCCUCUCUUCCCCUCUAGCCAUGUCAGGUUAUAGCAAGAAGACAGCUGUUUGUGAACCAGGAAAUGGGCCCAACAGACACCGAAUCCACCAGAACCUCGAUCUUGGACUUUCCAGUCUCCAGAACUCUGAGAAAUAAGCUUUUGUUGUUAUAAACCAUCCACUAUGCAGUUUUCUGUUACAGCAGCCAGAACGGGUGAAGACAUUGGCUUAUGCUCAUGUUUUGACUCAUUGUCCUCUCGUCGUGCACCCAAAGGUACAGUGACAACAGUCCUUCUGACUUUUCCUGAGGCCACCUGCACCUGCACUCCAGCUGGUUGACUUCACUACCUCCUCCUUAAUUGUUUCUGAUUGGAGAAGCAACUGGAUCACAUACUUGAAGUGACCAGUGAAUAAAGGGUAGUAUGACUCAAGGUGCUCACGCUUGAAGCUGACAAGGAGCAAAGCUGUCUUAUCAUGUUUCUCAUGUAAAUAAGGACGUUGGAUAAAUAUCACUGAACUCUUUUCUAAUACACCACGUGCCGACUUGUGGAGCUUCUGCGGCAAAGCCAGGAAGCCCCGAACGUGCAUCGUUUUGAUACUUGCUGUUUAUUACUAAUAAGCAUUGUCAUUUACUGGACACCGAUGUUAGACGUAAUGACGGAGUGUGUACCCUUCUGCACUCUGCAUGUCCUACACAACAGAUAAUAGCAUCGAUGGAAGCCUUGCUAUGUGCCGAGUACGGCCUGCCGCUGUUCGGUGUCCCUCAGCCCACCUGACAUUCUCACCUGUCAAUCAUCAACCACCACUACAUAAAUGUGUUUAAGUCCCUGAGCAUUUCUUUGACAUCACAUUGUGGGAAAACAGCUGGAUGAAGUUUCACCCAGUUUAAAGGCUAUUUGAGGAUGAUCUUACUUCAGAUGAGCUACAUGACAUGGAAUUUUCACCAUGGGAAGCCUCAGGUGCCCUAUCUUUGUGAGUCAGCCUGAACCAUGGCUUUGUUACAAGGGGAUCUCAGAAGCAGGAAAGCCCAUCCGAGGUCUGAAGUUGAAAGAUCCA